GCUAUCGUAGCUCAGGGGUAGAGCACUUCAUUGGUAAUGAAGAGGUCGGUGGUUCGAUUCCACUCGAUAGCACCA
rnacentral:tRNA from 1 species